GGUGAUGGAUUUAGCUAACGUGACGGCGUAUGAGUGGUAAUUAGGUUGUAUUCGACGGCAGGCUCCGUGCUUAGGCAUCGAACUGUCGGCUCGUACCCCGCUUCAUUGAUGCAUCAAGAUUUGUCUUGUGCGCAAGAUGGGUUUCUGUUUUGACUACCUAUUGUGAAGGAAUGUUGCCUCUCGUCGUCCCUUUCCUCCUCUCGCUGGCCUUGCCGGUGGGAGGACGACAUCGUAGCGCUACUCGUGUCUCGGACGAGCCGCACUCGUUGUGGUGCAGUUUCGGUCCUCGAGUUUUCGCUCGACAUCUCGGAUGCGGAACACUGAAGGGGCGGUGGGUCUUUACGGCCUCCGAUCGUCCAAUCGAAGCCUUGUCGCUUGAUGCGUACGACCGUCCUGCCCGUUGCGAGCCGUCGACCGUCAAGGUCGUC
rnacentral:misc_RNA from 1 species